UUUGUUCCGCGUUUCCGAGCAAAAAUAUCUAAGGACGACGGAUAUGCCGCCUGUAGCCUAUGAUAUUGCGUCUGCACUGCGGAGACGAAAUCUCCGAGAUGUGCACCGGGUUCAUGCAGAAAUGUCUGGGCCUUCCCGUAUUGAAAAGGAAGCGGCAGAAUUGCUAC
rnacentral:ncRNA from 2 species